GCGCCCGUAGCUCAAUUGGAUAGAGCAACGGCCUUCUAAGCCGUAGGUUGCAGGUUCGAGCCCUGCCGGGCGUG
rnacentral:tRNA from 1 species